rnacentral:rRNA from 1 species
GACGAACGCUGGCGGCGUGCUUAACACAUGCAAGUCGAACGGAAAGGCCCUGCUUUUGUGGGGUGCUCGAGUGGCGAACGGGUGAGUAACACGUGAGUAACCUGCCCUUGACUUUGGGAUAACUUCAGGAAACUGGGGCUAAUACCGGAUAGGAGCUCCUGCUGCAUGGUGGGGGUUGGAAAGUUUCGGCGGUUGGGGAUAGACUCGCGGCUUAUCAGCUUGUUGGUGGGGUAGUGGCUUACCAAGGCUUUGACGGGUAGCCGGCCUGAGAGGUUGACCGGCCACAAUGGGACUGAGAGACGGACCAGACUCCAACGGUAGGCAGCGGUGGGAAAUAUUGCACAGUGGGCGGGAGCCUGAUACGACGGCGCUGCGUGCGGAAUGCCGGCCUACGGGUUAUGAACCGCUUUCGCCUGUGACGAAGCGUGAGUGACGGUAAUGAGUAAAGAAGCAACGGCUAACUACGUG